AGUAAUCGCGGAUCAGCAUGCCGCGGUGAAUACGUUCCCGGGUCUUGUACACACCGCCCGUCACACCAUGGGAGCUGGUAACACCCGAAGUCAGUAGUCUAACCGCAAGGAGGACGCUGCCGAAGGUGGGAUUAGCGACUGGGGUGAAGUCGUAACAAGGUAGC
rnacentral:rRNA from 1 species